UUGUAAAUUCCAAUCUCAUAAACAGGAAAAUGUAGUGUGCAUCUACAUCUCAUUCAAAGUACAAAUAUAACUCUGAUGAUAAAUUCCAUAGUAAAAAACUGAAUGUAUAACACUUGUGACCAACAAUUCGAUAGAAUAAUGGCAAACAAAAAGUGGAUUUAUUGUCAUCUUUUCUUUGUCCCCUUGUCAUCUUUGUCUGUCUACUUAGACUUUCCAGCCGUUUUCCUGUACAAACUCAAAUAAAUUAACAUGGUAUUGACAGAGGGUUUAACAUGUACUUCUGAAAAUGCAUAAACUUACUUGAAAGGUCUUUUGUUCUUAGCACACACUUCGUCAUUGUUCUCUUUUCUCUUUCUCC
rnacentral:lncRNA from 1 species